rnacentral:rRNA from 1 species
AGAGUUUGAUCCUAGCUCAGGGUGAAUGCUAGCGGCGUGGAUAAGGCAUGCAAGUCAAGGGGGCCGCAAGGCAACCGGCAGACGAGGUAGUAAGACACAGGUACGCACCGAAAAGUCUGGUAUAGCUCGCCGAAAGGCGGGGUAAUCCCAGAUGGUCCGGCGACGGUAAAGGGGCAACCCGCUUUUUGAGCGGCCUGUGGGGCAUCAGCUAGUUGGUAAGGUAACGGCUUACCAAGGCUACGACGCCUAGGGGACCUGAGAGGGUGACCCCCACCGAUGGGACUGAGACACGGCCCAUACAUCUACGGAUGGCUGCAGUCGAGAAUAUUUGGCAAUGGGCGAAAGCCUGACCAUGCGACGCCGCGUGCUGGAUGAAGUCCUUCGGGACGUAAACAGCUUUUACGCGUGAAGAAGUAAUUGACAUUAGCGCGAGAAUAAGGGGCUCCUAACUCUGUGCCAGCAGGAGCGGUAAUACAGAGGCCCCGAGCAUUACCCGGAAUCACUGGGCGUAAAGGGUGUGUAGGCGGUCGUAUUAGUCUUUCGUAAAAGCACCCGGACUCAAUCCAGGUAAUGCGGGAGAAACGGUACGGCUACGAGGACGCGAGAGGUACAGGGAACUCAUGGUGUAGGGGUGAAAUCCGUUGAUAUCAUGGGGAACACCAAAUGCGAAGGCACUGUACUGGCGCGCUCCUGACGCUGAAACACGAAAGCGUGGGAAUCGAACGGGAUUAGAUACCCCGGUAGUCCACGCCCUAAACGAUCAUCACUGGCUAUAAGGAGUAUCGACCCUCUUUGUGGCGAAGCUGACGCGUUAAGUGAUGCGCCUGGGUAGUACGGCCGCAAGGCUAAAACUCAAAGGAAUAGACGGGGACUUGCACAAGCGGUGGAUCAUGCGGCUCAAUUCGAUGACAAACGAAGAACCUCACCAGGGUUUGAAACUCAACUGUAAGCCUUAGGAAACUUUGGCCCUCGCAAGACUGUUGGGCAGGUGAUGCAUGGUCGUCGUCAGUUCGUGGCUUGAGUUGUUCCCUUCAGUGGGGUAACGAACGCAACCCUCGUUGCCUGUUUUAAAAGUCAGGCGAGACUGCCCCCUCACGGGGGAGGAAGGUGAGGAUGACGCCAGAUCAGCAUGUCCCUCUGAUAUCCUGGGCUGCACGCAUGAUACAAUGGCAUAGACAACGGGUCGCGACGGGGUAACCCUGAGCUAAUCCUUACAACUAUGCCCCAGUUCGGAUUGAGGUCUGCAACUCGACCUCAUGAAGCCGGAAUCGCUAGUAAUCGCGGGUCAGCUAUACCGCGGUGAAUACGUUCUCAAGUCUUGUACUCACCGCCCGUCAACUCAAGGGAGCCGGGAGUGCCUGAAGCAUCAUUUCGGUGGUGUCACGGCAAGUUCGGUGACAGGGAGUAAGUCGUAACAAGGCACGGGUAGCGGAGCUGCUCGUG